ensembl:lncRNA
UUUUUGUACAGUGAGCACAGAGUUUAUUUUCAGAGUGAGCACGGAGGUGCAGCGGGGUCUGAGGUCUGCCCGCCUGGGCCCGCCUGUGGCUGCACAUAGAGCACGGAGCCUUUCUUUGCCGCCCGUGCUUUGUGGGCAGGGGGCACCCUCGCAGCGCUGAGCUGAGGGGCUUGCCAGCCACCACGGGCCAUCAGCAUCCAUGAAAUUCACGUGUAAACGUCUCUGACCACGUGGUCAGGAUAGCAUUUUUCACUUGGCUUUUCCAAACAGCUUGUAAACUUGUCAGCCACGCAUGGGGCCAGGGGGCCGGUGCACCCUCCCCAAGCUCUUCUGCGGCAGCCACGUGGCAGGGCCCUGGCUGGGAGCAGCAGGCCUGAACUUUGAAGCCUGUGGCCGCGGGGAGCCUGGAUCCUCGCUGCCUGGUGACCCCGUGGGGACAGCAGACUCCCCAUCAGGACGUCCAUCCUUGGCUCUUUUUUUUCUCUUUGACAGUAACUGAAAAGGAUCACUUUUUAGUGGUAACUCAUUUUCCAGCCCUCGAAGCCACCAGUUUCAUUCCAGAGUGUGCAUCGGGUUCUGACGAGGAAGCGCAGACACAGCUUGCCCAUGGGUAGGGAACCCCAGCCAAGUCUCAAGUCUGGUGACAUUUACAGGGUAGCUUCUGGAAGAGACUCUGACGCAGCCAGACUUGGGACCAAAAGAGUCCAGAUUCUUGGACCGGCCUGGUCAUCAGGUUGCUGUUGGUUGGACUCAAGACAGUGAUCAAGAGCAGGACAGGAAGGUCUUGGGCCGUGUCUGGUGUUCCCUCUCCUCCUGGCCCCUUGCCCUGAGGCCCAGCUUGGUGGGAGAGCUGGAAGCACCCAGCCCCCAACAGUGGAGGCAGGCCCCAGCCAGUUGUCUCUGCUGGCCUCCUGGGAUGCCCCUCCCCACCCCCGCCACCUGCCCACUUCCGGUCGGCCGUGGCUCUUGGGGAGAAACACGUCACCUGAUGUUUUUACAGGUGAUGGGAUAACAGGUGACCUUGGUGGCCAAGUUCCUGUUGGAAGGGUUUACUUCUAAUCUCGUCCAACGGAGACCUCCUCUGCAGAAGGCCCGCCGGGGGCCGUUUUCGUUUGUCAGCUCGCUCCAGCUUCACAGGCGUGCUUAAAGCAGUUCCUGUAGCCUUUUGUUUUCUUUGAAGACACACUCAGCCCUUCUCCACAGCCAGCCGUCCGGGGCAGAGGGCGGAGGGCCCACCCCGAGCGCCCACCGCCUCAGGGAGGGCACCCACACCUUCCCGCUGUGGUCCCUGGACCUCUAGCCUUUUUGUUCCUUUUUAGAGGCCUUGGGGGCGCUGGCCGGGGGUCAGCAAAUGAGCACUUUAUACCCCUUUGCAGGAAACCCCGUGAUGCCGCGGACCUCGUGUCCCCCUGCCCUCCGGGCCUUCCAGCUGCGCCUCCGGGCGCCCGAGCCCCACCAGCAGGCAGCCGUCCCCCGGCCGCCCCCGGCCGCCUGGGACUAGCCGCCCCUCCGGUUCCGAAGGGCCACUUUGUCAAAGCGUUUAGGUUUUUCUUGACUUCCUUUCCAAGUUUGUUUCCAGAGGAAGGACCGUUUUGUCCUGGUUCUGACACGAAAGCAAGUCUGGUUUUUGCAGCACUAAACAAUGGAGUUUCUUGUUUUUAAUUUUCGAUCGGAACAUUCCUCCUUUCCUGGUCACAGCCACAUGCUCAUUCCAUUCUUCUUUUUGUAGACUUUUGGGCCCACGUGUUUUACGGGCAUUGAUACAUAUAUAAAUAUAUAUAUAAAUACAUAUGAAUAUAUUUUUUUAAGUUUCCUACACCUGGAGGUUGCAUGGGCUGUACGAGCGGCAUGUCUUUAUAUUGUAUACGGAUUUUGCACGCAAACGCGGCAGCUUGGGGAAGAAGAGAAAUGCCUUUCUGUUCCCCUCCCAUGACAUUUGCAGACAACAAAAGAUGGGGAUUUUUUUUUUUCUUUCUGUAAAACAAAACCUUGAAGGAGAGUGGGGGAGGGGGGAACGUUUGCGUCUUACUGAAGUUAUUCUUAAGAAAUUGUACUUUUUAUUGUAAGAAAAAAUAAAAAGACUACUUAAACAUUUGUCAUAUUAAGAAAAAGUUUAUCUAGCCUUGUGGCAUACCAAUAAUAGAGUUUAUUGUAUUUAUGUGGAGACAGUGUUGUAGGAGCCUACGCGGAGGUCGAGGUGGACCGCCUGUCUCCCGCAGUUGCUCUGGAGGAAUUCGCCCCGUGGGGUUUCUUCCCUGGUCCCCCCCUCCCCGGGGAAGCCGCGGCCCCUGCGGCCCUUUCCGCACAGCCGAGCCCACUUUUCCUGACUUGCAGGCGAUGGACGGCUAGGAUUUCACUUGACACUCAGCAGUCAUGAACUGUGCUGCACUGUGGUUUAAAAUCAUACUUUGCAUUGAAAGGACACCAUUUCUUCCUUGUAAUGAAGCAGAGCUUUCACAGCUCAGCUCACUUUGUGUCUUUGACAUGAUUAGAAGCCUCCUGUUGAAGGAAAAAGAAAGCAGACAUUUUCUGUUGGUGGUUGUUUUUUCUUUUUAAUCUUCUUUUUGGUGUGUGUGCUCCACAGUGGAGGCGCUGCUUUCCAAUUUAUGAGAAUGACAAACAUUAUCAUGUGUCUGUAUAAGAGGGGGCUGACCCUAUUCACCCAAGAGCUCCUCAUGGUCUGUCGCAGAAAACGCGGUGGGACGCGUUCCCAUCCCCCCGACGCCCGCUUCCCGCUCCUGUGGGCGCCACGCGGGCGGCAGAGACCAGUCUCCUCUGUAACUUCGCAUCCGUUCUCUCUCGAUUGUCUGGACCUUCCCGGGGUCCUUUCCCUUUUUCAGUGGAGUUGGAGAUUCUGUCCUUGGUUUUCUCAUUCUUGUUUCAUUCUGUGUGGGGGGUGGUUUGCACCGACUGCGGUGUCCUCCCCCGACGGCCGGCUCCACUUCACCGGAGUCCAGUAUUUGUACCUCAUCGUGCGACUUGUCACUCUUGUGGUGUAAAUAAAGAGC